GAUGUUUUCGGGCUUCAAAUCCAGAUGCGCGUAGUU
rnacentral:tRNA from 13 species